rnacentral:rRNA from 1 species
GGGUUGUGAGGUUAAGCGACUAAGCGUACACGGUGGAUGCCCUGGCAGUCAGAGGCGAUGAAGGACGUGCUAAUCUGCGAUAAGCGUCGGUAAGGUGAUAUGAACCGUUAUAACCGGCGAUUUCCGAAUGGGGAAACCCAGUGUGUUUCGACACACUAUCAUUAACUGAAUCCAUAGGUUAAUGAGGCGAACCGGGGGAACUGAAACAUCUAAGUACCCCGAGGAAAAGAAAUCAACCGAGAUUCCCCCAGUAGCGGCGAGCGAACGGGGAGCAGCCCAGAGCCUGAAUCAGUGUGUGUGUUAGUGGAAGCGUCUGGAAAGGCGCGCGAUACAGGGUGACAGCCCCGUACACAAAAAUGCACAUGCUGUGAGCUCGAUGAGUAGGGCGGGACACGUGGUAUCCUGUCUGAAUAUGGGGGGACCAUCCUCCAAGGCUAAAUACUCCUGACUGACCGAUAGUGAACCAGUACCGUGAGGGAAAGGCGAAAAGAACCCCGGCGAGGGGAGUGAAAAAGAACCUGAAACCGUGUACGUACAAGCAGUGGGAGCACGCUUAGGCGUGUGACUGCGUACCUUUUGUAUAAUGGGUCAGCGACUUAUAUUCUGUAGCAAGGUUAACCGAAUAGGGGAGCCGAAGGGAAACCGAGUCUUAACUGGGCGUUAAGUUGCAGGGUAUAGACCCGAAACCCGGUGAUCUAGCCAUGGGCAGGUUGAAGGUUGGGUAACACUAACUGGAGGACCGAACCGACUAAUGUUGAAAAAUUAGCGGAUGACUUGUGGCUGGGGGUGAAAGGCCAAUCAAACCGGGAGAUAGCUGGUUCUCCCCGAAAGCUAUUUAGGUAGCGCCUCGUGAAUUCAUCUCCGGGGGUAGAGCACUGUUUCGGCAAGGGGGUCAUCCCGACUUACCAACCCGAUGCAAACUGCGAAUACCGGAGAAUGUUAUCACGGGAGACACACGGCGGGUGCUAACGUCCGUCGUGAAGAGGGAAACAACCCAGACCGCCAGCUAAGGUCCCAAAGUCAUGGUUAAGUGGGAAACGAUGUGGGAAGGCCCAGACAGCCAGGAUGUUGGCUUAGAAGCAGCCAUCAUUUAAAGAAAGCGUAAUAGCUCACUGGUCGAGUCGGCCUGCGCGGAAGAUGUAACGGGGCUAAACCAUGCACCGAAGCUGCGGCAGCGACGCUGAUGCGUUGUUGGGUAGGGGAGCGUUCUGUAAGCCUGCGAAGGUGUGCUGUGAGGCAUGCUGGAGGUAUCAGAAGUGCGAAUGCUGACAUAAGUAACGAUAAAGCGGGUGAAAAGCCCGCUCGCCGGAAGACCAAGGGUUCCUGUCCAACGUUAAUCGGGGCAGGGUGAGUCGACCCCUAAGGCGAGGCCGAAAGGCGUAGUCGAUGGGAAACAGGUUAAUAUUCCUGUACUUGGUGUUACUGCGAAGGGGGGACGGAGAAGGCUAUGUUGGCCGGGCGACGGUUGUCCCGGUUUAAGCGUGUAGGCUGGUUUUCCAGGCAAAUCCGGAAAAUCAAGGCUGAGGCGUGAUGACGAGGCACUACGGUGCUGAAGCAACAAAUGCCCUGCUUCCAGGAAAAGCCUCUAAGCAUCAGGUAACAUCAAAUCGUACCCCAAACCGACACAGGUGGUCAGGUAGAGAAUACCAAGGCGCUUGAGAGAACUCGGGUGAAGGAACUAGGCAAAAUGGUGCCGUAACUUCGGGAGAAGGCACGCUGAUAUGUAGGUGAAGUCCCUCGCGGAUGGAGCUGAAAUCAGUCGAAGAUACCAGCUGGCUGCAACUGUUUAUUAAAAACACAGCACUGUGCAAACACGAAAGUGGACGUAUACGGUGUGACGCCUGCCCGGUGCCGGAAGGUUAAUUGAUGGGGUUAGCGCAAGCGAAGCUCUUGAUCGAAGCCCCGGUAAACGGCGGCCGUAACUAUAACGGUCCUAAGGUAGCGAAAUUCCUUGUCGGGUAAGUUCCGACCUGCACGAAUGGCGUAAUGAUGGCCAGGCUGUCUCCACCCGAGACUCAGUGAAAUUGAACUCGCUGUGAAGAUGCAGUGUACCCGCGGCAAGACGGAAAGACCCCGUGAACCUUUACUAUAGCUUGACACUGAACAUUGAGCCUUGAUGUGUAGGAUAGGUGGGAGGCUUUGAAGUGUGGACGCCAGUCUGCAUGGAGCCGACCUUGAAAUACCACCCUUUAAUGUUUGAUGUUCUAACGUUGACCCGUAAUCCGGGUUGCGGACAGUGUCUGGUGGGUAGUUUGACUGGGGCGGUCUCCUCCUAAAGAGUAACGGAGGAGCACGAAGGUUGGCUAAUCCUGGUCGGACAUCAGGAGGUUAGUGCAAUGGCAUAAGCCAGCUUGACUGCGAGCGUGACGGCGCGAGCAGGUGCGAAAGCAGGUCAUAGUGAUCCGGUGGUUCUGAAUGGAAGGGCCAUCGCUCAACGGAUAAAAGGUACUCCGGGGAUAACAGGCUGAUACCGCCCAAGAGUUCAUAUCGACGGCGGUGUUUGGCACCUCGAUGUCGGCUCAUCACAUCCUGGGGCUGAAGUAGGUCCCAAGGGUAUGGCUGUUCGCCAUUUAAAGUGGUACGCGAGCUGGGUUUAGAACGUCGUGAGACAGUUCGGUCCCUAUCUGCCGUGGGCGCUGGAGAAUUGAGGGGGGCUGCUCCUAGUACGAGAGGACCGGAGUGGACGCAUCACUGGUGUUCGGGUUGUCAUGCCAAUGGCACUGCCCGGUAGCUAAAUGCGGAAGAGAUAAGUGCUGAAAGCAUCUAAGCACGAAACUUGCCCCGAGAUGAGUUCUCCCUGACUCCUUGAGAGUCCUGAAGGAACGUUGAAGACGACGACGUUGAUAGGCCGGGUGUGUAAGCGCAGCGAUGCGUUGAGCUAACCGGUACUAAUGAACCGUGAGGCUUAACCUUACAACGCCGAAG